UCUGAAACAGGGACCCGGGACAGUGCUGACCCAUGGGACGCCUGUGAUGCCAAAGUGGUGAGCCCAGAGAAGGGGAACCUGUGGGAUUGCCAGGAGCCCCAGCAGCCCAGAGAGGGGAACACCAAUACAAACCUGACCCGCAGCAGCCCAGACAGGGGGGCCUCCAGGAGCCGAAAGAGAGACCAGAGAGGGGAAAUCCAGGGUUGGGUGUUUUUGCUGAAUCUUGGUCAUUUCUGUAUUUUGGGGGACUAAAUCUCAGUGUUUUGGGGGUUUACACGGGCACCAGAUUCCCAGUGACUUCUAGAGUGUGGAGGCACAGGUGCCCAACAUUGGAACUGCAAUACCUCAAGGCAAAGGUGACCAGGGUCAGAGAGAGACACCCCUCUGAGGACAAUGGUCUCACCAUCAGCAUUUGCAGGCUCAUGUGAAUGCAGCAGGCUUCAUUGGUAUCACCCAGUCCAGCUGCCCUUUUUUCCUUAUAUGUACUUCCCCUAGAAUGUUCUCCCCUCUCUUGUCCCCCAUUGGUCCCGGUUUACUGCAAUGCUCUGCCCCUGUUACCUCAUUGGUUCCCCAGUUGGCUGCCCCUCCUCUGCACCACCUGUGCUCAGUUCCCAUUGGCCCUUGGCCCUGAGACCCGCCCCUUUCCCCCCUUAUCAAACCCUGUGUCCCCAGCCCCAUUUUGUCUCUGUCUCUGGACCCUCUGCAUUGCAAUAAACUGCAUUUGGAGCUGUGCACACAGACCCGUCUCUGGCCUUGUCCAUCAGCAGGUUAAGCAAGCGUGCUCCAGGCCCUUGGAGUGCAGGAUUUCUCAUUCCCAAACUGGCUGGAUGGAGGAGGAGGCUGUGAGGAAGAGGAAGAUUCCCCGGGACAUGCAGGCAGACCUUGGAGAGAAUCCAAAAACCUCUCAAGAUAGUGUUUGGAGGCCUCAUCCCCUAACCAGCAGGGAGAGGCAGCAGACUCUGGGCUCAGUGGUGUGGAGACUGAGGACAGAAUAAGAGUACCCGGGGAGGGAUUAAAGGGUGGUUUCACACAUCCUGGAGUUUUUCUUUAUUGUAUAAAACAGCCAGAGAAAGAGAUAAUGGCACCAAGGGCAGCUUGGGAAGACCAGACUGGACACCAGGAGAAAGGAAUUUCCCUCCCAGGGCAGGGCUGUGGUGCAACACAUCCCCCAGGAGGAGCCCGGAGCAGCCCAAGGCUUUGUGUGGGCAGGCAGAGGCAGGCAGGAGGCAGAGCUGUCA